rnacentral:rRNA from 1 species
GGGGCUGCGGGAGCUACACAUGCAGCCGAGCGGUAGAGAUCUUUCGGGAUCUUGAGAGCGGCGUACGGGUGCGGAACACGUGUGCAACCUGCCUUUAUCUGGGGGAUAGCCUUUCGAAAGGAAGAUUAAUACCCCAUAAUAUACUGAAUGGCAUCAUUCGGUAUUGAAAACUCCGGUGGAUAGAGAUGGGCACGCGCAAGAUUAGAUAGUUGGUGAGGUAACGGCUCACCAAGUCUACGAUCUUUAGGGGGCCUGAGAGGGUGAUCCCCCACACUGGUACUGAGACACGGACCAGACUCCUACGGGAGGCAGCAGUGAGGAAUAUUGGACAAUGGGUGAGAGCCUGAUCCAGCCAUCCCGCGUGAAGGACGACGGCCCUAUGGGUUGUAAACUUCUUUUGUAUAGGGAUAAACCUACCCUCGUGAGGGUAGCUGAAGGUACUAUACGAAUAAGCACCGGCUAACUCCGUGCCAGCAGCCGCGGUAAUACGGAGGGUGCAAGCGUUAUCCGGAUUUAUUGGGUUUAAAGGGUCCGUAGGCGGAUCUGUAAGUCAGUGGUGAAAUCUCACAGCUUAACUGUGAAACUGCCAUUGAUACUGCAGGUCUUGAGUGUUGUUGAAGUAGCUGGAAUAAGUAGUGUAGCGGUGAAAUGCAUAGAUAUUACUUAGAACACCAAUUGCGAAGGCAGGUUACUAAGCAACAACUGACGCUGAUGGACGAAAGCGUGGGGGAGCGAACAGGAUUAGAUACCCUGGGUAGUCCACGCCGUAAACGAUGCUAACUCGUUUUUGGAAUGUAAGUUUCAGAGACUAAGCGAAAGUGAUAAGUUAGCCACCUGGGGAGUACGAACGCAAGUUUGAAACUCAAAGGAAUUGACGGGGGCCCGCACAAGCGGUGGAUUAUGUGGUUUAAUUCGAUGAUACGCGAGGAACCUUACCAAGGCUUAAAUGGGAAAUGACAGGUUUAG